GAACUCAAAGGAGACUGCCAGUGAUAAACUGGAGGAAGGUGGGGAUGACGUCAAGUCAUCAUGGCCCUUACGACCAGGGCUACACACGUGCUACAAUGGCAUAUACAAAGAGAAGCGACCUCGCGAGAGCAAGCGGACCUCAUAAAGUAUGUCGUAGUCCGGAUUGGAGUCUGCAACUCGACUCCAUGAAGUCGGAAUCGCUAGUAAUCGUAGAUCAGAAUGCUACGGUGAAUACGUUCCCGGGCCUUGUACACACCGCCCGUCACACCAUGGGAGUGGGUUGCAAAAGAAGUAGGUAGCUUAACCUUCGGGAGGGCGCUUACCACUUUGUGAUUCAUGACUGGGGUGAAGUCGUAACAAGGUAACCGUAGGGGAACCUGCGGUUGGAUCACCUCCUUACCUUAAAGAA
rnacentral:rRNA from 1 species